GAUACAUAGAUAGAUAGAUAGAUAGAGAGAGAGAGAGAGAGAGAGAGAGAGAGAGAUUAUUGGAUGAUUGAUUGAUUUCCAUAGAUAUCUUUAGUAAAUACUACUCUCUUUGCGUUUGCUUGACUACAGUUUCUAAAUUCUCCUUUUUUUGGUAUACAGCGGGGUCUAAAAGUCGGAGAGCACUAAUGAAAAUGCUUCUAUUUUUUUCUAUUCUAAUUUAAUACAACAGUUUUCAUUACAAAUUAUAUUACUGACAACAACUUGAGUGAAGAGUAGAAUCUUUAAAAUAUUUACAUGCAUUUCAGAGUUUCUUAGUGUUUGGUAUAGCCUGACAUGGACUCCACAAGCAAAACCUUAUGAUCCAUUUUAGAUCAAAUCCAUCAGAGUGUUGUCUGAACACAUGCUUCAAUAGAAGAGAUUAGACAUGAGGAAAAUCUGACCUUUUGUACAAAACAGAUAACAUGGUCAAUAUCACAAGUUUGCUAACAUUUAAAUAGGGACCUAGAAAUCGUGCAUAAUCUUCAAGAUAUUGAACAGUUACUUUCUUCGUUUUAAAUAUUUCUAAAUUCAAAAACCUUAAAUGACCAGAUUUUCAGUGUGGUCUCAGACUGCUGGCACCCAAUGUAUAUUCAACAACUCCAGGAAAGGCAGUUCAGAUUUCAUUAUGGGAGGAGUCAUGUCAAAUAAAUUUUAUUGUCUUCUCAUCCAAACACACAUGGGGAAAAAAUACAAGAAUAAGGAUGCCCUCAAGGUAAAUAUAAAAUCCUCUAGAUUAUGUAUUCACAGAAGAAAUAACUAGAACGUAAUGAAGAUGGCUUUACCCACAGAGGUAAUCUGAUAUGCCAGAUACCUAGUGUGAGUGAUGGAAUGUGACAGUGUAGUACAUUAGGUUGCACUACAGACUUGGUCAGAGGCCUUGUCAGAAACCAGCAGCUCCAGUCAUUCAUCUCUCCCAAACACACAAGUACACACAAACAUGCCACCAGUCACAGACACUAUGUCUCCUCUUGGCAUGUGAUGAUGACAAGUUUUAAGCAUUGACAUCUUCUUUAUAGUAAGUUUGGAGAUACAGUAGUAUGUACUUACUUGGCUGUUACUGAAAGCUCAUUCUGCUGCAGUACUCUUGGCUUCUGGAAAACCUCCAAAUUUCUCAUUCUGUUUUAGGCUCCUCUUACAGGAGUUCAUGAUCCUGACAUAAAAACCGCGCAAGGCAUGCUUCCCAUCAUGCUGUACCUGUGUCUGUACAUAUCUCUGGUGUAAAACCCAAGCUUGUGGCAGCUCUGAUUUGAAAGCCUCUUUAGUGGUUUAUUUAGAUAAGGAGUGGACAUUUAUAUAAGUUGCAAAAGAUUUUUUUUUUUUUUUUUGGUGAGUGCAGUUUCCUAUACUGCAUGUAUAAUUAAAAUAGCAUUAAAUAAAUAUACAAUUUAUGAUUUUAUAAAUGAUAAACAGCUGACAUGUACUAGUCUGAAAAAGGCCACUGAUGCUUACUUAAAAUGAUGCAUGUUACCUAUAUUUGUCUUAAAAUGAUCUAAGUAUUUUAGAAUUACAAAUAGAUUUAUGCAUUUAAAUAAGACAUUCAACUAUUAUUUAAGCCACUUUCAAUUAACUGAUUUGUAUUAUUAACAACUGUCUUGGAUGUGUCUAGUUGUAUGUCCUGUAUGUUUUUUAGGGCUAUGGCUUAUAGGUUUCUUGGCUGGUGCCUGAAAAUGAACCAGUGUCCUUUGACACUCUCAAGUAGAGCAGCCGGAAAUUCGAGCUGCCUGAGGAGGGGGAAGAGGUGUGGGCCAUUCCAACUUACACAACGCCUCAUCUCAGCACCACCACCUGACCCAGCGUCACCUGCUUUUACAUGAGGGAUUUGAUUUGCACUUUGGCCCGAUUUUGAGCCAUGGGGUCUGCUGAAAGCUUCUGAGCUGCUGGAGAAUCGGAUGAGAGAGCGUGCCAUGUACAUGGUGAGAAACAUGCAGCUCUGGUCACGUAAACAUUUAUGAGGACAUCUUAUAAUCAAAGAGCUCCUUUCAUAAAGCAUAUUGUGAACAGAUUGUUUGAUAGCUUUGAACUCCAUGUGCGGCACAGGGAAAAUGGGCUCUCUUUCUUUCCACAGUACUACAAGAUAAGAGAUUGCAUAGGCUAUAAUAUUACUUCUUGCAUUCAUGUUCCUAUUAUAUACUGACACUGCAUUCAUUAAUCCCUUGGAUUUCAGUGCACAGUCUUUUAGUUCUUAUAGACAUGUUAAGUGCAGGCCAUGGAUAAGCCAUAAUUUAUCAUCCAUAACUUGAAAAGAUAUGUCACACACACACACACACACACACACACACACCAAAGCAUAUGGUUGAAUGGAAUACAACUGUUAUGUUGAUCUUCCUUUACAGUUCUAACAAGAAAAGGUUUUAGUUUGCACUACAGAGUGAGCAGAGGAUGGGGGCUCAUUCCGGAAUAAGAAGCGUUUGUGUUGGCCCACACACUGCAUGCUUUUGCGUAUUUUCUGCAUCAAAGCACCUGAUUCACUAUAUGAAGUGCAUGAUAAUUAUCUGUUGAGUUGUGUGUAAAAGACCCCCAGGGACAGAAUCUGUAGAAAUUAAAUCUACCAGGAACUGCAUCUAAAUAAGACUAAGGGUUGUGUCAUGAGAUGCCCGACACAUGAAAGAAGUGAAUUUAGAUAAUCAUUUGCAGAAGUAAACAAGAUAGACUGGUAAAGAUUCACUAGGUGUUACCUACUAAAAUUCAGUAGACCAUGGAGGUGAAACCUAAUUCCUGGAGGGUCACAGCUCUGCAUACUAUUUUCACUUUUCACACUCACCUGCAUCACGGAGGCACUGAUAAUUAAGUGAAAGCUCUAAAACAUCAUGCUUAGGAAUAGAGAUUUAAAGUAUAACUUCUUUCCGUAUUGUGCACUAUAUGGCCAAAAGUUUGUAGACACCUGACCAUCUCACCCAUAUGUGGUUCUUCCCCAAACUGUUGCCACAAAGUUAGAAGCACAUGACUGUAUAGGAUGUCUUUGUAUGCUGUAGCAUUAUAGUUUCCCUUCACUGAAACUAACAGGCCCAAACCUGUUCCAGCAUGACAAUGCCCCUGUGUACAAAGCGAGGUGCAUGAAGACAUGAUUUGCCAAGGUUGGAGUGGAAGAAGUCAAGUGGCCAUACACAGAGCCCUGACCUCAACCCCACUGAACACCUUUGGGAUGAAUUAGAACACAGACUACGUCCCAGGCCUCAUCACCCGACAUCACUGUCUGACCUCACUAAUGCUUUUACGGCUGAAUGUGCAAAUCCCCGCAAACCUUCACAGAAGAAUAGAUGUGAUGUUCAAAAAGCACAUAUGGGUGUGAAUGACAAACCUUUAGUCAUAUAGUAUACACUGAAGGGAUUUAAAACUGCAAGUAGAACACUUCAGUAUUAUUGUUUUUAUGGGUCUAUAGAUUACACCCAUUAAGGUAGCAUGCAGAACCUGUAACUACAUAAAGGAGGUAUUCUAUUCUAUUCUGUGCUAUUCUAAAGCUAUUCUAAAUAUAUCAUGACAAUGUCUUUUUCAUUAUUUUAAGAGAUAAAGAUGCAAUUCCUAAACUUCCCCAUCAUAAUGGUAUUAUUUUAUUUCAUUAUGAAAAUAAAGGUGCUCACUUCUCUUGCUUAUGUUUAAAAGUACAAUCUCUCAGUUGCUGUUACAUUUUUUAUGAAAAAUGGCAACCAAAUUUGGCCAUUAUAAUUUUUAAUCUGGAAUAUAGUAUGUUUUGCCUUAUGUGACACUGCCUUUGAUAAGUUAUUAGCACAGUCUUAAGUUAAUGCACUUUGAAUUGGAUAAUGCAGCAUCCUCAGAUCCUUAUUACAUACAUUGAUUUUUCUUGAGAGUUGUCUCACAAUUGAUUCAGAGAACUUUAUGCGUCUCUGCUUUAUGCCCUGUGAUAUUGACCAGGUUGUUUUUUACAGUAUGAUGUACCAGCACACCAUCCUCUGAGGCUUAAUAGCAGUUGUUGAAUACACAUGUUUAUUAUAUUAGUUUGAUUAUUUGAAAAUUGUCCUGCUGUUUAUAUAGGGCUGUACACCUGUAUGAUGGAUUUUGCAUGCUGAAUGAAUGCACUACUAUUUUCAUCUUUCAGCGAGUGCAAAUUAAUGCUGCCACAACACCAACAUGAAGUAAUUUGCAGUGUACAGGCCCCCAGUGGAGAUUUGAUUACAGGCUUUAUUCACUUGGGCAUUGUCACGAUUGCACUGGUCAAAUUACACAGUCCAAUCUGCUGACAAGUAAAAGCAAGACAUUAUGCCAGAUAUCUUACUGACAAGUUGGAGAGAGGCUGUUUAUCACAGCAACUACAGGUCACUUUUCAUCAAUCAAAUGGCCAUGGAGGUAGAGUAGCAAUGUAAUGAAAGGGAGAACAAAUGAGUCCCCUUUAGACCCUGCACAACAUUCUCACAUGGAUACCGCAAAAUCAUUAAACAAGGCAAGGCACCUAAAAGUCAACUUAAAAAAUAGUCAACUUAAAAAAUAGUCAACAUUAAAAAUGUUUGUGACACAUCCAUAUAAAAAAAUAUUUAUUCCAUGCUCUGACAACUGACGUGAAAUCUAUGCUGAGUGUGUAGUCAAAUAAAAGGGUGUGAAUGUGCUUCACUAACUAUACUAUACUAAGUAUUUUCAGACUUUUAUUGCUUGACUCUUGAUUGUUCACUCUAAAAGGAAAUUGGAGUUUUGGACUCUUAGAUGGAUGAUAUUCUAGGUGCAACUUUUUCUCCAAAAAUCAGGCAAAAAUAGUAACAGACUUUGUGUUGUUUUAGUUAAUUACUUUUGCUUUGCUUUUUGCUUUUUCGCAGGCUCCUUGUUUCUUGCAGCCAAACUGCCAUUUUCAUUGUUUGAAGUGAAUAACAACUUUACUCUGCUUUGCUUGUCUCAAUAAUAAAUUGACACCUUUGUAAAAAAAAAAAAAAAAAAAAAAAAAAAGAGUGCUGAUCCAGAUAGCAGGUGCCAGAUAUCCUACACUCAUUUUCAUGUACACACAUGCUAUGGUUAUUUAUAGAUAUUUAUACAUCUUAUACAUCUGUUUAAUACCUCAGUUUUGUAACCAGGCUUAAUAAAUCUCGACAAGCAAUGUUCACCUUGUUCACCAUAUAAUGACUGCAAACUAACAGUUCCACUUACUGUAAAUUAUAAUGAAUGCUUGACAUUUUCAGUGAUAUCACAUUAUCACUGAGUCUGAAUUGGUGUUACCUUUGUGCAAUCAGAAUAUGUAUUAUUUAAACAUAAUUUUAUUGACCUUUCCUCUUUAUCCAAUGGCUCUAGAGACAGGUGAACUCCGCCGGUCCAUCACAACAUUUAAUUAUUUCUGAUUUUAUCAUUUAUGGUUUUGUGCAUGUCUGUGUGAAUCCACUUCAGAGGCUUUACGGCCCAACCACACAGUGGUGCUGUUUCACUGAACACAAUACACCCCGUCUACAGCGUCUAAGCAUGCCGUUUGAAUGAACACGUCCAGUCAUGAAGUGAUAAAAUAUACCAUGCACAUUUACGCUGGAGGAUGCAAGAUGGCCAAUCCACAUCAGUCUUCUGCAGUUGUGACUCACCUUCUGCUGCUGUGGAUGUUCCCACAUGGAUACCCUAACACUGUGCUUGUAUCCAAGAACUGCUGCUGUAAUCAUGUAGACUGUCCUGUGUUUUUCACAGGACUCUUAUUCACAAUAUGCUCACAAUAAACAUCCUUUCAACACACUUAGAACUGUUUGAUUGGAUAGUAAUGACUUUUAAUUGCACUAUCCAGUGUCAUGCAUUUUGAGUUUGCCACUGUUGAGUUAGCCACUGUUGAGUUAGCCACUGUUGCCUCUGGCACUAUCCAAAUCAACUUGAAUUGAAUUGAAUUUAAUAAUUGAUUUACCAUUAAUACAAAUAUGUAUUGACUUGCAAAUCUUGUGGUUAUGUUUGUGUCUGUAAAGAGCUACUCUGAAGAGAAAUCUGCUGCCCAGUAGUUUUGAAAGUCUGAGGGUAUGGCUCAUCAAGUCAAUUGAUGAGGUCAGGAGGUCAGAAGAACAUAUUCCUCACUACAUUCUCCUCUACACAGCAGACUAUCUAACCAGCCAAGAAUCCUUUCAAAAGGCGUAAUCACCGAUCAGCCCAUACAAUCAUACUGACACUUCCAGCACCACAUGGUAAUUUUCUAAUAUCCCAAUCUAUUAACAUUUCAGCUCAAAUUAUGCGGUUCUUGAGCACUGCCAGGCUUCAAAGCUUGUUUAGGAAGUAUGAUUUACUGACAAAGACUUAAACAGGCUGAUUGGAGGUAAAAUAAAGCAACUGUUGUUCAUGAAAUUUGUCAACAGUCAACCUCAGUGAUGAUGCAAGAAGUAGCAAUAUUUUGACCACAAGGAAUAAAAUAAUCAAAUUGCAGAUGAAUCCAUGGUUUACUGGAUCCUGCAUAUAUUGGGUCUGAUUCAUCCGUCCAAUAUUUCAUGACCUUAGUAUAACCUAUUCAUUCUUAACUAAUAUAUAGUUCAACCAAGAUCACGAUUCAUCAGUGAAAAUGCUUUCCCUCUUCGCUCUUCCUUUCUCCCUGAACUGAAUUUAUUUAUAAAUUUUCUGAGCAUAUAAGAAAGGAAUUACAAGCUCAUGGGAUGCCAAAAUCUGCACUAGUUAUACUUUUGGUAAGUGUGCAUGCUAGGCAGCCAGAGGAACUACUGUAGCAGUUCACUUAUGCUCUAAAGCAGAGUGCAAUUUGCCUGGAGUGAUUGCUGCAUGGAUAGAAAACCGAUGGGCUGCUCCGUUCCGUCUCAGCCUAUUGAAGUCCCUAACUAAGCUCACUCAAAGACCCAUAAAAGCAAGAAGACAUGGAAGGCUGAGAGAGGCUAUGUGUGUGCAUGUGUGUGUGUGUGUGUGUGUGUGUAAAAGAGGAGAAAAAAAGCACUGAAAAGGAUGAUGAGCAGAUAAAUGAGUAAAUGCAGAUUAACAGAAUAUGUUACAUCUCAUUAAGCCAUGAGCUAUAUGUGCUUUAUUGAGAAAUAAGAGGAGAGAGAAAAAAUGAUGAAAAAAGAGAUAACACUACAUCCCAUAAUGUUAUUACUUCUUUUCUCACAAUCUUGUUCCUAUAUGGCCAAAAGUAUGUGGAUACCCGACUAUCACACCCAUUUGUGGGUCUUCCACAAAAUGUUGCCUCAAAGCUGGAAGCACACAAACUGUAUAUGAUGUCUUUGUAUGCUGUAGCAUUAAGAUUUCCCUUCACUGGAACUAAUGAGCCUAGCCCAAACUUGCUCCAGCAUGACAGUGCCCCUGUGCACAAAGUAAGCUUCAUAAAGACAUGGCUCCACUCUUCUCAUUAUAGAAGAGUGGAAGGUUGUUAUAGGAGCAAACGAGGGAACAACUCCAUAUUCAUUUAAAUAGUUUUGGAAUAGGAUGUUCAACAAGCACAUAUGGCUGUGACGGUCAGGUGGCCACAUACUUUUGACCAUAUAGUGCAUUUCACAUUCCACUAUGUGUAUAAAAUGUGAUUGGUGAUUGGCUAUGCACUAAUCUGAUAUUUAAAAGGUAACGAAAUCAAUUACAUGUAAAGUUGUUAGCAAAACCUCUCAGUGUAUUUGCCAGAAAUAUCUGUUUCCCAGGUAUUUGCUGAUUUCUGCUAAAGCAAGCGUUCUGGCGUGUAACCUGUCAGCAACCUGGACAGCAGGGUUGUGUCACUGUUAUUCUUUAAAAAAAGACUGGUGGAGACAUCAAAAGAUUCAUGACCCUAUUCAGCUAAAAAAUGGAUGCAAUAUUAUAGGACAUGCCUUUUAGAUAACUCUGCCACUGAAAGAGUGAAAGAAAUGGGAUUACCUAAGUAAGAUAUGGAUAGCUUGCCUUGCCUAUAGGACAUGCUAUUUGAUUUUCAUGCUAUUAGACCAUUCUAUUAUAUUCUGGGCAGACACUAUUUAGGUGGAUAUUGUAAAUACUUAUCAAAUUGUUUUAGGGUGGCAAACUGUUGUCCUUGAACUACUGUGUGGCUUCUCACAUUAUAAAACUGCUGUUGCAGGGUGAGAUG